UACGGAGGGGGCUAGCGUUGUUCGGAAUUACUGGGCGUAAAGCGCGCGUAGGCGGAUCUGCAAGUCGGGGGUGAAAUCCCGAGGCUCAACCUCGGAACUGCCUUCGAUACUGCGGGUCUCGAGUCCGGGAGAGGUGAGUGGAAUUCCUAGCGUAGAGGUGAAAUUCGUAGAUAUUAGGAAGAACACCAGUGGCGAAGGCGGCUCACUGGCCCGGUACUGACGCUGAGGCGCGAAAGCGUGGGGAGCAAACAGG
rnacentral:rRNA from 1 species